UUCAUCUAUUUGGCAGACCUAUUUCAGUUAUGCAUGCUGCCAAGUUUUCCACUAUAGAUCUAAAGACAAAAUGUCCUCACACUUUCUGUCUGUCUGAUUGUGGCAGCCAAGAUUGGAUGGGAGAAUACAGAG
ensembl:snoRNA